rnacentral:tRNA from 1 species
AUUCCCGUAGCUCAGUGGCAGAGCGUCUAAUUUACAAUUGGGAGGUCGCUGGUUCGAUGCCAGCCAGGAAUA